GACGAACGCUGGCGGCGUGCUUAACACAUGCAAGUCGAACGGAAAGGCCCUGCUUUUGCGGGGUGCUCGAGAGGCGAACGGGGGAGUAACACGUGAGUAACCUGCCCCUGACUUUGGGAUAACUUCAGGAAACUGGGGCUAAUACCGGAUAGGAGCUCCUGCUGCGCGGUGGGGGUUGGAAAGUUUCGGCGGUUGGGGAUGGACUCGCGGCUUAUCAGCUUGGUGGGGGGGUAGUGGCUUACCAAGGUUUCGAAGGGUAGGCGGCCUGGGAGGGUGGCCGGCGACCUUGCGACUGCGAUACGGCCCAGUCGCCUACGGUAGGCAGCGGUGGGGAGUAUUGCGCAGUGGGCGGGAGCGUGAUGCAGCAACGCCGCGUGCGGGAUGCCGGCCUUCGGGUUGUAAACCACUUUCGCCUGUGACGUGGCGUGAGUGACGGUAAUGGGUAAAGAAGCACCGGCUAACUACGUG
rnacentral:rRNA from 1 species